rnacentral:rRNA from 1 species
UACGUAGGGCGCAAGCGUUAUCCGGAAUUAUUGGGCGUAAAGAGCUCGUAGGCGGUUUGUCGCGUCUGCCGUGAAAGUCCGGGGCUCAACUCCGGAUCUGCGGUGGGUACGGGCAGACUAGAGUGAUGUAGGGGAGACUGGAAUUCCUGGUGUAGCGGUGAAAUGCGCAGAUAUCAGGAGGAACACCGAUGGCGAAGGCAGGUCUCUGGGCAUUAACUGACGCUGAGGAGCGUAAGCAUGGGGAGCGAACAGG